AGAGUUUGAUCCUGGCUCAGGAUGAACGCUGGCGGCGUGCCUAAUACAUGCAAGUCGAGCGAACGGACGAGAAGCUUGCUUCUCUGAUGUUAGCGGCGGACGGGUGAGUAACACGUGGAUAACCUACCUAUAAGACUGGGAUAACUUCGGGAAACCGGAGCUAAUACCGGAUAAUAUUUUGAACCGCAUGGUUCAAAAGUGAAAGACGGUCUUGCUGUCACUUAUAGAUGGAUCCGCGCUGCAUUAGCUAGUUGGUAAGGUAACGGCUUACCAAGGCAACGAUGCAUAGCCGACCUGAGAGGGUGAUCGGCCACACUGGAACUGAGACACGGUCCAGACUCCUACGGGAGGCAGCAGUAGGGAAUCUUCCGCAAUGGGCGAAAGCCUGACGGAGCAACGCCGCGUGAGUGAUGAAGGUCUUCGGAUCGUAAAACUCUGUUAUUAGGGAAGAACAUAUGUGUAAGUAACUGUGCACAUCUUGACGGUACCUAAUCAGAAAGCCACGGCUAACUACGUGCCAGCAGCCGCGGUAAUACGUAGGUGGCAAGCGUUAUCCGGAAUUAUUGGGCGUAAAGCGCGCGUAGGCGGUUUUUUAAGUCUGAUGUGAAAGCCCACGGCUCAACCGUGGAGGGUCAUUGGAAACUGGAAAACUUGAGUGCAGAAGAGGAAAGUGGAAUUCCAUGUGUAGCGGUGAAAUGCGCAGAGAUAUGGAGGAACACCAGUGGCGAAGGCGACUUUCUGGUCUGUAACUGACGCUGAUGUGCGAAAGCGUGGGGAUCAAACAGGAUUAGAUACCCUGGUAGUCCACGCC
rnacentral:rRNA from 1 species